CAUCCUGGUUAAGAGGGCCAAACAGAUCAGUUGAAACGGUCAGGCGGUCGGUCAGGCGUCGUGAAAUCCACGAAGAUCUUUUUAAUUAGUUCAACGUUACUAUGCUGUUUUGUUAAGAUUCCACCUAAUUUCAACAAAAGGUAUCGAAAUAUUAGUUUCUCACCGCGGCCAUUACUGAUCAUCAACGAGAGUUUCAAGAGUGAAAAACAAAGUGAAGAGAUAUUUCCAAUCAUCAAAUGGCCACUGAUGUCGUCAAGAAGCAAUCAGCUAAAGGAUGAAAUUCUUAAUCAGAUUGCAGAGCAGAUAAAGGGAUUACAGCUUGGACAUCAAACAGCCUUAGAUGACGGUAAAACUGACUUUCAGGUCACUGCGAACAAUAUUCACCUACAAUGCUUGUUGGACCUCUUAGAUCACUUUCUACUUCAUGGGUUGGAGAAAACUGAAUUUGGUUACUGGCCAUUUGUGAAAGAGCUCACCCACUCAGAAACAGUAAGACAGAUUGUCAGCCACCCUCAAGUAACUACUGAGUUAGAUAAAGGUCGAGUGUGGAUUUUCGCAGCAUUUGGUGAUGGCCUUUUGGAGAGCUAUAUCAGAUUAUUUGUAGAUAGUCAAAAGUUGGCAAAAAGGUUUUAUACAAAAAAAGCAUUUGUGCGAGAUAAGGAGAGACUUGCUUUAUUGCAGACUUUAGUCUCAGGUCUUGAUUAUAUCUCAAUUGUCUUGGACCAGGAAUCUCCUUAUCUUGGUUAUGGAACUCAGUAUUGUGAAGUGGAUGGCAAGUGUCAGAGGACACUUGUAACAAUGGGUAAAGAUGCUGAGGGAGUUGGCAUCAGUUCAGGCAUCAAAAGGGAUGACAACAAUAGCACAGUUAGCAGCAGCUUAUCAAGCUCAUCAACAAUAGCUACACCACUGAGUCCAAGGAGUUAUCAUUCUAGUGGAUUAAAUGAAAUCGAUGGGGAAGAAAAUGAAAAUGUAUCUGACCAAAAAGUACAUGUCCAACAGACUGAUCAGCACGAGACUCAGUUUUGUGACCAGUCUGGCAAUGAAGGUCAUAAACAAGAAACUACUUCCAGGCUCCACUAUAACAAACACUUUCAAAUACAGCAGUUUACAGAAGAUAGGGAUGUGGGGUUUGAACUAAUAGAUAACAGAAACAAAAAGCAAAUGACACAAAGAAUAGAUCAAUUGGUAGAUGCAGAACAGAACAAAGGAAAAAAUUACCUAGAGGUGCAGCAUGUUUCAUCUGGUCACAACCAUAUGCAUAAAUGGCCACCAGAUGUGCCCUCUGUAGGUUGUGAAGAUGCUCCUGAAGAACUGUCCUGUGAAGAAGACUUACUGCACAUGUCAAGAUUUCAGAGGUCACAAGAUAGCCACUCAAGUUGUAGCCCAACCAACAGUGUACAUUCAACAGAUUCUAUGGACCAGUUUUGUAGAGACUUUGACUCUAGUUUAAAAGUUACCAGUGAAAUGUCCCUAAACAGUGCCACUCUUCAGUUGUGUGAUAAUACUGCUGGUGGACAGCCAGACUCCUAUGAUGCAGAAAAAAAUUCAACGCAUGGAGUUUUCAGUGAUGAUGGCCUGCAAACUGUAACAGCAGCAGAAACUGAAAAACGAUUAUCAGAAGCUGAUAAUUCACCUAGUUAUGAAGGGAUAAUAUUAGGCAUUCCAAAACGACCCUCACUGCACCAGACCCCAACAACAUCUUGUGAUGUAAGGGUGGAUCAGAAUAGGAUGCUGCUAUUGUCGUUGGAAGUGUUUGAGAAGAACAGUGAGCAGUUUCACAGGAUGCUGGUGUGUAUGUGUGGACUCCCUGGUAGUCGGUUGUAUUUUAUUAACCUCCUCCUCACGGAUCAUGCGGUUUAUCUUCUAAGCAAAGCACCAUCCCACAAUGGAAAGGGCUUUCAAGUUCAAUCAGCAUUACCAUUUACAACUUUGAAGAAAGUAGAGGUUGGUCUGAACUGUCAAACAGUUACUCUGGUAUCCAAAUCUCGAAAAAUUUUCUUAUUUAUAGCAGAUGAGGCUGUUACAAGGGAUUUUCUUGCAUCAUUGACCAGUAUGAUACUCAAAUCAGGCCAUGGAUCCCUGCUCACAAAGAUUAUUUCUACUUCCUCAUUUGAGCAAGAAGUUACAUUAAAGAAGUGGAUCUGUGAACUUGAAAACCUCCAGUCGUCCAGUGUGGACAUCAGGUGUUUUACUUUUAUUCACUGGUGUGGACUAACCGGACCGGAUUCCAGCAUUGAAGUUCUCAGUCACAAAAGCGUUAAGGAAGGUUACAUGGACUGUAAGCAAGCACAGUAUUUAAGAUCCUACAAAUGGACCACCAGCUAUUUUGUGUUAAUGAAUGGAUCCCUGUAUCAAUAUGUGAAGAAGGGUGAUGAAGAAUGUAAAGUUAUUGUAGAGCUGAGAGGAUCCCGAUGUGGAGGUUGCCGAAGAGUUGAUGAUGCUGACCGCCCUUAUGCCUUUGAGGUUGUAUCAGAGGAUGGCUCAUCCCUACUUGUCCUUGCAGCCUAUAGCGAGGAUGAAUCUGCUGAUUGGAUAUUUAGGAUUUGUCAAGCUACUGCUGAUACGUCUGAAAGCGUUGAGGAAAUGAGCCCUACAGUUAUGAAAUGCGUGCCUUCUUGUCUUAUCCUCACUAAUGUCAAAGUAGAUUUUGGCGUGUCUCCCUAAUCCAACUAGAGAGGAAACGUUUCAGCUGCUUAGUGAAUGUUCUGUACAAAGUGUGACAAGGCUAUUUGUGGACAAUGAUGUCAGGAACUAUUGUAUUUUGGAGUUCGAACACAGUGAAAUCACCUCUACAGAGUCCUCUUGGUUUAUUUGGUUUAAAACGGAGUAUGAACUAGCAAAGUUUGAACGUGCUCUGCUGGAAGCUUGGCGGGAGCUCUUCCAG
rnacentral:misc_RNA from 1 species